CGCUUCCGGCUUCUCAACGUUUAUUCCAUCAGGCUCAAUAUCUGUUGCGAGUUUAUUGCUUGGUGAUCUAAUUUUCAAGAUACACGUUUGCUUGUAUCCAUCAUAAAAUGAUCAUAAAAUAUUCAAAUCAUUUAUAUUCGCUUGGUUAAUUUAUUUAUAUCCCCCCGGGGGGUCCUUAUAGCGCUUCGAUAGCUUCCAGCUAGCAAGUUGGCUAGCUGUCCAUUCAGGACCAUGGCAAGUGCAUCCACUGCUAAUCUAAACGCAGUCCGAGAGACUAUGGACGUGUUACUGGAGAUCUCAAGGCUGCUCAAUACAGGCCUUGACAUGGAGUCUCUGUCGAUCUGUGUGAGAUUGUGCGAGCAGGGCAUCAACCCAGAAGCUCUGUCUUCGGUUAUCAAGGAGCUGAGGAAAGCCUCCGAGACCCUCAAGGCUCCCGAAAACUGCACGAACUAAAGAUGAAACGUUCCCUUUGGGGUCCUAAAUGGGACUGCAGCCGUCUCUUGUCCCUGCACCAUGAAAGCUCCAGCCAUUAUGGCCUCACUGUCGUCCCUCGUGUCCUGCCCUUGGGUGCAGAUGACGGUCAAUUUAAAUCCCGAAAAAAAUAGCACUCAGCAUCAGCUAGUUAUGAAUUGCUGAUGCAGCCUCCCCACUGGUGCACGCCGGGGAGAAUCAAUACAAGAGCUGUACCGUAAAGUAUCAGUUACACAUACUGCCCAUCUGGCUGAAUUUGAUCAUUUCCCCCCCUUCGAUGUUCAUGUUCACGUUCUGCAUGUCUUCCAGGGCUGCACAUUCCCCAUACAAACGCCACUGAUCUACAAGUGGAAAAGAAAAAAAAAACCUUUCACAUAAAAUGUAUGUAUUUUUUUUUAUGGCCAUGUUGCAUGUCCUAUUUGAAAUACCAUCCAUAUUGUACAUACCAGAAACCGAUUAUCCAGAUGUAUGUUGAAUGGGAUCAACAUUACAACUUGUAUGCAAGCGCACCGUGCAUUGUUUUCUUUUCUCCACUGUCUGCAAAACGGCUCUCUUCAUCUUCCAGGAGGAAAAAAAAAAAUGCUGAAAGCACACAACUUUCCUCCACAGGCCAACGUGCAGGCUUGAAGCAAAGCUCUCAUCUUCGAGGGCUUGUAUUAGGGCCUCAUUGUGUAGGUGGGGGUCCACUUCUAUGCGGGCAACUUUAUUCGCUACUGCUGCUUUAAGAUGUCUACAAAUAAGGGGGUCCCCCCCCCCUCCCCCGUCCCCCAAAUCCCCCCUACUCUUCCCACCCUUAAGCCUUCUGACAAUAACAGCCCUCAGAGGAAGUCAGCGUGUGAGCGCAUGGGUGUCGGCGUAAGCAUUUUCGGCUUUGACUGACAGGCCGGCAGUUCAAACCCUCGUGCUCCUUUUUUUUUAAAUCUGCUAACACACUUUUCUCCGUGUUCCACAUCAAGAAGAAUCAUGUCGGACUCGUAUGAAGUGCAGGGGGUUGAAGUCUUCACACUCAAGUUGAAGUAUCGAUACUUAAAAGUACUGCUUCGGUUCUUUAAAUUCAAAUAAAGUACAAUCUGAAAUGUACUAAAGUAUAUUAAAUGAGUCAAUUAUUUACAAUACUCCUUUUGAGGAAAAAAAAACCUUGCUAAAAAAAAUCUGCCACAUGCGUUUUUCAGAUUAGAGAGAGUUUUGGAUUGCCAGAAACUGGCGUUUUGUGUCCUGCCAGGGGCACAAAACGGCUUCGCUUCAGAUCA